GGUUAAGCGACUAAGCGUACACGGUGGAUGCCCUGGCAGUCAGAGGCGAUGAAGGACGUGCUAAUCUGCGAUAAGCGUCGGUGAGGUGAUAUGAACCGUUAUAACCGGCGAUUUCCGAAUGGGGAAACCCAGUGUGUUUCGACACACUAUCAUUAACUGAAUCCAUAGGUUAAUGAGGCGAACCGGGGGAACUGAAACAUCUAAGUACCCCGAGGAAAAGAAAUCAACCGAGAUUCCCCCAGUAGCGGCGAGCGAACGGGGAGGAGCCCAGAGCCUGAAUCAGUGUGUGUGUUAGUGGAAGCGUCUGGAAAGGCGCGCGAUACAGGGUGACAGCCCCGUACACAAAAAUGCACAUAUUGUGAGCUCGAUGAGUAGGGCGGGACACGUGGUAUCCUGUCUGAAUAUGGGGGGACCAUCCUCCAAGGCUAAAUACUCCUGACUGACCGAUAGUGAACCAGUACCGUGAGGGAAAGGCGAAAAGAACCCCGGCGAGGGGAGUGAAAAAGAACCUGAAACCGUGUACGUACAAGCAGUGGGAGCCUCUUAAUGGGGUGACUGCGUACCUUUUGUAUAAUGGGUCAGCGACUUAUAUUCUGUAGCAAGGUUAACCGAAUAGGGGAGCCGAAGGGAAACCGAGUCUUAACUGGGCGUUAAGUUGCAGGGUAUAGACCCGAAACCCGGUGAUCUAGCCAUGGGCAGGUUGAAGGUUGGGUAACACUAACUGGAGGACCGAACCGACUAAUGUUGAAAAAUUAGCGGAUGACUUGUGGCUGGGGGUGAAAGGCCAAUCAAACCGGGAGAUAGCUGGUUCUCCCCGAAAGCUAUUUAGGUAGCGCCUCGUGAAUUCAUCUCCGGGGGUAGAGCACUGUUUCGGCAAGGGGGUCAUCCCGACUUACCAACCCGAUGCAAACUGCGAAUACCGGAGAAUGUUAUCACGGGAGACACACGGCGGGUGCUAACGUCCGUCGUGAAGAGGGAAACAACCCAGACCGCCAGCUAAGGUCCCAAAGUCAUGGUUAAGUGGGAAACGAUGUGGGAAGGCCCAGACAGCCAGGAUGUUGGCUUAGAAGCAGCCAUCAUUUAAAGAAAGCGUAAUAGCUCACUGGUCGAGUCGGCCUGCGCGGAAGAUGUAACGGGGCUAAACCAUGCACCGAAGCUGCGGCAGCGACACUAUGUGUUGUUGGGUAGGGGAGCGUUCUGUAAGCCUGUGAAGGUGGCCUGUGAGGGUUGCUGGAGGUAUCAGAAGUGCGAAUGCUGACAUAAGUAACGAUAAAGCGGGUGAAAAGCCCGCUCGCCGGAAGACCAAGGGUUCCUGUCCAACGUUAAUCGGGGCAGGGUGAGUCGACCCCUAAGGCGAGGCCGAAAGGCGUAGUCGAUGGGAAACAGGUUAAUAUUCCUGUACUUGGUGUUACUGCGAAGGGGGGACGGAGAAGGCUAUGUUGGCCGGGCGACGGUUGUCCCGGUUUAAGCGUGUAGGCUGGUUUUCCAGGCAAAUCCGGAAAAUCAAGGCUGAGGCGUGAUGACGAGGCACUACGGUGCUGAAGUGACAAAUGCCCUGCUUCCAGGAAAAGCCUCUAAGCAUCAGGUAACAUCAAAUCGUACCCCAAACCGACACAGGUGGUCAGGUAGAGAAUACCAAGGCGCUUGAGAGAACUCGGGUGAAGGAACUAGGCAAAAUGGUGCCGUAACUUCGGGAGAAGGCACGCUGAUAUGUAGGUGAAGCGACUUGCUCGUGGAGCUGAAAUCAGUCGAAGAUACCAGCUGGCUGCAACUGUUUAUUAAAAACACAGCACUGUGCAAACACGAAAGUGGACGUAUACGGUGUGACGCCUGCCCGGUGCCGGAAGGUUAAUUGAUGGGGUUAGCGGUAACGCGAAGCUCUUGAUCGAAGCCCCGGUAAACGGCGGCCGUAACUAUAACGGUCCUAAGGUAGCGAAAUUCCUUGUCGGGUAAGUUCCGACCUGCACGAAUGGCGUAAUGAUGGCCAGGCUGUCUCCACCCGAGACUCAGUGAAAUUGAACUCGCUGUGAAGAUGCAGUGUACCCGCGGCAAGACGGAAAGACCCCGUGAACCUUUACUAUAGCUUGACACUGAACAUUGAGCCUUGAUGUGUAGGAUAGGUGGGAGGCUUUGAAGUGUGGACGCCAGUCUGCAUGGAGCCGACCUUGAAAUACCACCCUUUAAUGUUUGAUGUUCUAACGUUGGCCCGUAAUCCGGGUUGCGGACAGUGUCUGGUGGGUAGUUUGACUGGGGCGGUCUCCUCCUAAAGAGUAACGGAGGAGCACGAAGGUUGGCUAAUCCUGGUCGGACAUCAGGAGGUUAGUGCAAUGGCAUAAGCCAGCUUGACUGCGAGCGUGACGGCGCGAGCAGGUGCGAAAGCAGGUCAUAGUGAUCCGGUGGUUCUGAAUGGAAGGGCCAUCGCUCAACGGAUAAAAGGUACUCCGGGGAUAACAGGCUGAUACCGCCCAAGAGUUCAUAUCGACGGCGGUGUUUGGCACCUCGAUGUCGGCUCAUCACAUCCUGGGGCUGAAGUAGGUCCCAAGGGUAUGGCUGUUCGCCAUUUAAAGUGGUACGCGAGCUGGGUUUAGAACGUCGUGAGACAGUUCGGUCCCUAUCUGCCGUGGGCGCUGGAGAACUGAGGGGGGCUGCUCCUAGUACGAGAGGACCGGAGUGGACGCAUCACUGGUGUUCGGGUUGUCAUGCCAAUGGCACUGCCCGGUAGCUAAAUGCGGAAGAGAUAAGUGCUGAAAGCAUCUAAGCACGAAACUUGCCCCGAGAUGAGUUCUCCCUGACUCCUUGAGAGUCCUGAAGGAACGUUGAAGACGACGACGUUGAUAGGCCGGGUGUGUAAGCGCAGCGAUGCGUUGAGCUAACCGGUACUAAUGAACCGUGAGGCUUAACCUU
rnacentral:rRNA from 1 species